UAUCUUCUAAAUCGUCCACACUAACAAUCCAUCCCUAGGUCCCAGCCUAAGUCCCAACCUGUGGAACUAUUUGGUUUACAACAAGAAAAGGAAACCUACGGAGGUCAUUUUAUUCCUUCUACAAAAUUUGCUUAAAGAAAAACAUUCGAUUUGCUUAAAGAAGAAUCUAAAACUAAAUAUUCUUUAGAAUAAUAAUAAUUAAUUGCUACUUUGGCCUCCUUUGGAUUUUUUUUUCUUAUUAUCUUUCUAUUUUCAUAAAGAAAAAUUUAUCCUGUCCCCUUUCGUUCAAUUUUCCUCCAUUGAGAAAACUAUCAAGAAUGGAUGGGCAUUUAAGUGACUCCCAUCUAUCCAUAAACAAGAAGGAAAAUAAUAGAAGAUGACAUGACCCAUACCAAGAAAAAAAUGUUUCACAUACUAAUGAAAGGGGAAGUAUCAUAGUUGCACA
rnacentral:lncRNA from 1 species